rnacentral:rRNA from 1 species
AGCCAUGCCGCGUGUGUGAAGAAGGCCUUCGGGUUGUAAAGCACUUUCAGUAGGGAGGAAGGUAGUGUAGUUAACACCUGCACUAUUUGACGUUACCUACAGAAGAAGCACCGGCUAACUCCGUGCCAGCAGCCGCGGUAAUACGGAGGGUGCGAGCGUUAAUCGGAAUUACUGGGCGUAAAGCGCAUGCAGGCGGCCUGUUAAGUCAGAUGUGAAAGCCCGGGGCUUAACCUCGGAAUUGCAUUUGAAACUGGCAGGCUAGAGUCUUGUAGAGGGGGUAGAAUUUCAGGUGUAGCGGUGAAAUGCGUAGAGAUCUGAAGGAAUACCAGUGGCGAAGGCGGCCCCCUGGACAAAGACUGACGCUCAGAUGCGAAAGCGUGGGGAGCAAACAGGAUUAGAUACCCUGGUAG